rnacentral:SRP_RNA from 1 species
GCCGGGUGUGGUGGUGCACACCUGUAAUCCUAGCUACUCAGGAGGCUGAGGCAGGAGGAUCACUUGAACCCAGGAGGUGGAGGUUGUAGUGAGCCGAGAUUAUGCUGCUGCACUCCAGCCUGGGCAACAGAGCGAGACUCUGUCUCGA